AUUGAACGCUGGCGGCAGGCCUAACACAUGCAAGUCGAGCGGAGCGGCGGACGGGUGAGGAAUGCCUAGGAAUCUGCCUGGUAGUGAGGGAUAACGUCCGGAAACGGGAGCUAAUACCGCAUACUAUCAGAUGAGGCUAGGUGGGAUUAGCUAGUUGGUGGGGUAAGGGCCUACCAAGGCGACGAUCCGUAACUGGUCUGAGAGGAUGAUCAGCCACACUGGAACUGAGACACGGUCCAGACUCCUACGGGAGGCAGCAGUGGGGAAUAUGGGACAAUGGGCGAAAGCCUGAUGCAGCCAUGCCGCGUGUGUGAAGAAGGUCUUCGGAUUGUAAAGCACUGUAAUUUGGGAGGCGUUACCAACAGAGUAAGCACCGGCUAACUUCGUGCCAGCAGCCGCGGUAAUAC
rnacentral:rRNA from 1 species